CUGGCGGCGUGCCUAAUACAUGCAAGUCGAACGGUCUUUCUAUGGAAGCUUGCUUCCACUGAGAAGAUAGUGGCGAACGGGUGAGUAACACGUGGGUAACCUGCCCAUAAGAGGGGGAGUAACAUCCGGAAACGGGUGCUAAUACCGCAUAGUUUUCUUGAUCGCAUGAUUGGGAAAGGAAAGACGGCCUUUGUGCUGUCGCUUAUGGAUGGACCCGCGGCGUAUUAGUUAGUUGGUGAGGUAACGGCUCACCAAGACGAUGAUACGUAGCCGACCUGAGAGGGUGAUCGGCCACAUUGGGACUGAGACACGGCCCAAACUCCUACGGGAGGCAGCAGUAGGGAAUCUUCCGCAAUGGACGAAAGUCUGACGGAGCAACGCCGCGUGAGUGAAGAAGGUUUUUACCGGAUCGUAAAACUCUGUUGUCAGAGAAGAACAAGUUGGAGAGUAACUGCUCCAGCCUUGACGGUAUCUGACCAGAAAGCCACGGCUAACUACGUGCCAGCAGCUGC
rnacentral:rRNA from 1 species